AGUAAUGUAUAAAAUAAUGAGUAAGAUGAGAGAGCCUAUUUUUUGUCCUUCUUCUUUUUCUUGUCAGAUUUUUUAUCCUUCUUUUUCUUCUUGUCCUUCUUC
rnacentral:ribozyme from 12 species